GCAAACUUGGUCAUUUAGAGGAAGUAAAAGUCGUAACAAGGUUUCCGUAGGUGAACCUGCGGAAGGAUCAUUAAUGAAUAAACUUGAUGGAUUGUUGCUGGUUCCUUCAUUGGAGCAAGUGCACGUCUGUCAUUUUUAUCUUUCCACCAUGUGCACAAUGCAUAGAUCUGAAACUUUGAUUCGUGUGAUCGUCUUGGGGGGAUUGCUGUUUGUAAUGAGUAGCUUUCUCUGUGUUCAGAUUCUAUGAUUUUAUCAUUAUACUCCAAUGUAUGUUAUUGAACGAUGUUAAGGCCUUUUCAAAGCCUAUAAAUUGAUAAUACAACUUUCAGCAACGGAUCUCUUGGCUCUCGCAUCGAUGAAGAACGCAGC
rnacentral:misc_RNA from 1 species